CUUCUGAAGAGGUUGUGUAAGGCGCUGGGUUGGGAAUCACGAAAGGCCCAGGUGCAAACCUCAGCAGUGCCGCCCAGAGCAUCCAGGAUGUGAGGAGCGAUGACGAGGAUUAUGAAGAGGAAGAGGAGGAGGAAGAGGCUACCAAAGGCAAAGAGAUGGAUUGUUUAAAGAACGGCCUCGGGGCUGAGAGGCACCUCAUUCCCAAUGGUCAGCAUGGCUAUUAGCUGGAAGCCCACAGGACUCCCACGGCACAGCAUGCUGCAAGUACUGUUGGCAGCCUGGCUUCCAGGCCCCACACAGACCCCAGAUUCUGCCCUUCCCUCUUUCUCACCACCGUCUUCCCUCCCACCUAAGAUGUGUUUACCAAAAUGUUGUUAACUUGUGUUAAAAUGUUAAGUAUAAGCAUGCCCAUGGAUUUUUACUGCA
rnacentral:sRNA from 1 species